rnacentral:lncRNA from 1 species
CCGCCCCCGAAAUGAAGGCUUGGCACCUAAUGGAGCAUUUAACCUGAAAUGUGGAGUCCAAGCAAAACCCCCAUCAUUAAACCAACAGGCUGCCCUCAGAAAUUCCAUGCUCAGGAGAUCAUUUUCAGAACUUGAAAAACAAGUUGUUGUGCAGGUAGAAACGUUCUUUUUUUCCACUGGGAUUUAGUGAAGCAGGUCCCACAGCUGCCCAGAAACAUGCGCAAAUGGCCUUUGGAUUGUGCCUUGACAGCCUCUAGUGAGGAAUAACUCUGCUGCCAGCAACUAAGACUAACAGCUCCAAAGUAAAGAAGUAAACAACACUGAGUUUUCCUCGCUCCAAAGAAAGCCUGAGAGGACUCCGUUGCCAUCAGCUCCUGGCUUCCCCUUUGCUUUUUUCACUCUGAAGAUUUGCAGUCAGGAGGCACCUGCUCAGAACAGAGAUUACUCGCAUACGGGAUCAACAGAAGAGAGUGCAAAGGUCCAGGCCAGGAGCCAGCUGUCAUCUAAAGAGGGACUUCAGCUGCAAAGCCUGUCCAAACAUCCAUCACAAACAGGUUUUGGAAGUUUUUAUAUGGGUUUGAGCCAGGUUUUUACCUUAUCCAUAUCCCAAAAAGAUGAUCCAUCCCCGUGCCAGAAACUUUCAAAUAAUAAUAAAAAUUAUUUGAUUAUAAGAAAGAAAGGGAAAAGAAAAUGACCAGGCCUCAAACAGAGAAUGACUCAAACAGAGCCUGAGCAGUUGGGAGGAGUCUCCCCGUUGGAGAAUCUACACCAUAUUACAGACUGAAUUUCAACAAGCUAUUUGGGAUGAUUUCGUGACUAAGCAUGAAGCUGGAAUUAUACUGCCUCCUUGGUCAAAGUGCUGUGGACACUUUCCCUUCAUUAUUUCAGGUUUUUUUCUAUGCUGGCACUUUAUUCAAGCUCACAAAAUAACUGUACUUUGUAAACCACAAAAGAAAAUGUACGCCCUUUUAUUUCUAUUGUGUUGGGAGGAUUUGGUGGGGGGUGUUAAUGUUAACUGUUAUUGAUCAUGUUAUCAUUAUUAUUACCAACUUUAACCUAGUCUUCCAUAUCCAUAUAUUUUGCAUAUGCAAAAC